GUCCGAUUAGCUAGUUGGCGGGGUAAAGGCCYACCAAGGCGACGAUCGGUAGCUNGUCUGAGAGGACGACCAGCCACACUGGGACUGAGACACGGCCNNGACUCCUACGGGAGGCAGCAGUGGGGAAUUUUUCGNNAUGGGGGCAACCCUGACGAAGCAAUGCCGCGUGGAUGAAGAAGGCNUUCGGGUUGUAAAGUCCUUUCGUGGAGGACGAAAAGGCGGGUUCUAAUACAAUCUGCUGUUGACGUGAAUCCAAGWAGAAGCACCGG
rnacentral:rRNA from 1 species